rnacentral:piRNA from 1 species
AGGACCUUGUGUGUAGUAAGUUGG